GACAGAGGGUGCAAACGUUGUUCGGAAUUACUGGGCGUAAAGCGCGUGUAGGCGGCCAUCUAAGUCGGGCGUGAAAUCCCACGGCUCAACCGUGGAAGUGCACUCGAAACUGGAUGGCUAGAGUCCUGGAGAGGAAGGUGGAAUGCUUGGUGUAGAGGUGAAAUUCGUAGGUAUCAAGCGGAACACCGGUGGCGAAGGCGGCCUUCUGGACAGUGACUGACGCUGAGACGCGAAAGCGUGGGGAGCAAACAGG
rnacentral:rRNA from 1 species